UGAAGCCUCUGCAGUGACUGGAGGUGAUGUAGCUUAGCAUUUCUAGCAUUUAGCCUGGACUCAGCUCCUCUGCAGUUUGAAGUGUGGACGUGUUGCAGGAGGACGUGAUCUGUGGAGGGAGGAGUCACAGGUCUGGUCAAACUGCAGGACGAAGUCUCACCUGAGGAAACAUGGCGUCUGCUCAGAGUUCCCUCUGACCUAUAUGCUGGGAUGAGAGCUGGGAUCAAAAGUACAGAAGCACUGAAGUGAAGACACCUGACCACCAAGGGCGGAGACGAGGCGGACCACACAACACAGGAGGCCUGGGGAAAUCAUUAACCACACACAAACACAUUCAAUAUGACUGAGUGAUCGCAGCGUUGGAGGGAGACGGCCAUUUUGACUCAGCUUCGUUCGUACAGACCUGAUGAGAGACGCUAACGUCUUC